UAUCAGUGUUUAUGAAUGUAAUCAAUAUAAAGGAGAAGGGAGAAGACAUGUGUGACACCAAGGAGGACAAGAAAUCAAGCUAUGCACUUUGCUUUUCACUCCAAGUCAUUUCCAUCAGGAGCAACAUAAUGGGCUCCUUUGUGCACCCCCCCCACCAUAGGACCUUGACCUCAAUGUGGACCAACAAUGGUAGAGAAUGUUCCAUCCUCCAAAGGGAGGUUGGAUAACAUACUCUACCACCUGAGGAAGAUGGGUCCUGAAAUUUGUGCAAAUUGUAACAUUCCUACUCAUGACCACAAAAUGUGAGCUCGGAUCUACAGGGAUGCAGAGGUUAUGAAGGCUCCUGUGCUGAAUAUGGACCUCAGAUCAAAUCAACGAGGUUUACAAUCAACAAUACUUAUACACUUUUCCCAUAUUUGGGAGCUACUCUCUUCCCUGAUUCAGGUUUCUAGCCCUUUUUACAGCCAUGAUAUCAUCUCCCCAGACAAUAACUUGGGUCUACCUGCAAAUCAAAUUCCAGGCUCAGGAAAAAACUGCCACCAGGUUCCAAUGCUACCAUGAUGCCAACUGGACUUCCCUGGGCAGAUGACCCAAAAAAUGUGUCCUGGAGCUUCCCCAGACUUCUGCCCCAUUAGGGAAAGAGAGAGGCAGGCUGGGAGUAUGGAAUAACUUGUCAAUGCUCAUGUUCAUCAGGAAGCAAUUACAGAAACCAGACCUUCCACCUUUUGUACCCCAUAAUGACCCUAGGUCCAUACUCCCAGAGGGUUAAAGAACAGAAAAACUAUCAGGGGAGGGGAUUGGAUAUGGAGUUCUGAUGGUGAGAGUUGUGUGGAGUUGUACCCCUCUUAUCCUAUGGUCUUGUCAAUAUUUCCAUUUUAUAAAUAAAAAUUUUUUAAAAAAGAAAGAAACUCAGGCUAUACCCAGCUGCUGAAGUCCUAAGGCAAGGUAACAGAUUUAAAAGUAAUUUUCAAAGUCUACAAGGUGCAGAUUCUAA